rnacentral:rRNA from 1 species
CAUAGCGACUAUCGUGGCAUAUCAAUAAGCGGAGGAAAAGAAACUAACAAGGAUUCCCUUAGUAACGGCGAGUGAAGCGGGAAGAGCUCAAAUUUGAAAUCUUCAAGGUUCUACCUUGACGAAUUGUAGUUUAUAGAAGUGUUUUCUGUUAGUAGAGUGGCAAAAGUUCUUUGGAAUAGGACAUCAUAGAGGGUGAGAAUCCCGUAUUUGGUCAUUCUUUCUAGCUUUGUGAUACACUUUCAACGAGUCGGAUUGUUUGGGAAUGCAGUCCAAAAUGGGUGGUAAAUUACAUCUAAAGCUAAAUAUUGGCGAGAGACCGAUAGCGAACAAGUACCGUGAGGGAAAGAUGAAAGGAACUUUGAAAAGAGAGUUAAACAGUACGUGAAAUUGUCAAAAGGGAAGCGUUUGACACCAGUGUUGUUUUUCCGAAAAUCAAUUACGAAUGUUUUAUUUUUGAGAAGUUAUGACUUCAUCGGCUUGCUUCUCUCUUUACUGAAACUUUCUUAAUGCACUUUUCGGUUAACAAGUCAACAUCAAUUUCUUUUGUUGUAAAAGGGUAAGAGGAAGGUGGCUUGCGCUUUCGGAUAAAGUGUUUAUAGCCUUGUACCUCUGCAAUCGGAGAGAUUGAGGUCUGCAGCGUAGAUCCUUCGGGGUUAGAUACAUUUGUGCUAAGUUAUAGCUUGUCAUAGACAACUUGUUGACUAUGUUAAGUCAUUGUAGCUUACUCGCUUAGUGCUAUUUUACCUACGCUUAGGAUGUUGAUAUGCAUGACUGAUAU